AUUGAACGCUGGCGGCAGGCCUAACACAUGCAAGUCGAGCGGCAGCGGAAAGUAGCUUGCUACUUUGCCGGCGAGCGGCGGACGGGUGAGUAAUGUCUGGGAAACUGCCUGAUGGAGGGGGAUAACUACUGGAAACGGUAGCUAAUACCGCAUAACGUCGCAAGACAAAAGAGGGGGACCUUCGGGCCUCUUGCCAUCAGAUGUGCCCAGAUGGGAUUAGCUAGUAGGUGGGGUAACGGCUCACCUAGGCGACGAUCCCUAGGUGGUCUGAGGGGAUGACCAGCCAAGCUGGAACUGAGAAACGGUCCAGACUCCUACGGGAGGCAGCAGUGGGGAAUAUUGCACAAUGGGCGAAAGCCUGAUGCAGCCAUGCCGCGUGUAUGAAGAAGGCCUUCGGGUUGUAAAGUACUUUCAGCGGGGAGGAGGGUGUUGAGGUUAAUAACCUCAGCAAUUGACGUUACCCGCAGAAGAAGCACCGGCUAACUCCGUGCCAGCCGCCGCGGUAAUAC
rnacentral:rRNA from 1 species